rnacentral:rRNA from 1 species
GACGAACGCUGGCGGCGUGCUUAAAACAUGCAAGUCGAACGAAAGAAGGGAAAGAGCUGCCUCUUUCGGGAUUGAGGUGUCAAACGGGGGGGAACCACGAAACAACCUGGCCUUAGGUGGGGGACAAACGAACGAAACGACCGGCAAUACCGGAAAAGUUUCAAGGGACGCAUUGACCCUGGAAGAAAAGGUGGCCUCGUCCCGUAAGCCAUUCCCCGAAGAGGUGUUUGCGUCUGAGUAGAUGGGUGGGGGGGUAACGGUCCACCAAGGCGACGAUCAGAAGCCGGACGGGGAGGAUGAACGGCCACACUGGAAUUGAGACACGGGCCAGACUCCUACGGGAGGCAGCAGGGGGGAAUCUUCCGCAAUGGGCGAAAGCCCGAAGGAGCAACGCCGCGUGAGGGAUGACGGCCUUCGGGUUGUAAAACUCUGUGAUCCGGGACGAAAAGGCAGAGUGCGAAGAACAAACUGCAUUGACGGUACCGGAAAAGCAAGCCACGGCUAACUACGUG